CAGUGACCAACCUCAAGGUCACUGAAGGUCAGUUGAAAUUCAGUGGUCGUACAGAAGUGAUGUGUUGCUCCUCCACCUUUCGCCCCGCCGGCUCAUCUUUUUAAUGCACCUAAAUAAUGUGUAACAGGACUGCUGCUCCUGGCUAUAUACUGGAACAUUGAUCAACUCGGCAACUUUGACCAGUCUGAGGGGUGGAGACAGCCACACUAGUAAAUGGUCUGACUCAUAACAUUUGGUGUUAUAUGGAGAUACAGCAGUUGGAGACGUCGUUAGAGGUGGGCAGGGCCCACUUGUAAGCUGCUGUGUGGUGAAGUCCGUGUCGUGGGCAGCUGCUGUGUGGUGAAGUCCGUGUCGUGGGCAGCUGCAAGUCUUCAGAUGUCAUCACCUGCAGCAACACCUCAAAAGUAUCUACAAAGAUUAUUCAUGAAUUGCAGUUGAUGGAACUGGAAGAGCUGGAGGUGUUGGUGUGGUGGAUGGCAGGGGAGUGACUAGUGGGGCCACUAUUCUUGACCUCCAUGGCUAAAUGGCGCCAUUGACCUGGAGGAGGGGGGGUUAUAUCGUCAGUGG